GGCAGCAGCCGCGGGAAUACCGGCGGCUCGAGUGGUGGCCACGUUUAUUGGGCUUAAAGCGUUCGUAGGCUGGGUUAUUAAGGUCCCUUGGGAAAUCCGACAGCUUAACUGUCGGGCGUCUAAGAGAUACUGGGUAAUCUUGGAACCGGGAGAGGUGAGGGGUACUUCGGGGGUAGGAGUGAAAUCCUGUAAUCCUCGAGGGACCACCUGUGGCGAAGGCGCCUCACCAGAACGGCUUCGACAGUGAGGGACGAAAGCUGGGGGAGCAAACCGGAUUAGAUACCCGGGUAGUCCCAGCCGUAAACGAUGUGCGUUAGGUGUAUCGGUGACCACGAGUCACCGAGGUGCCGAAGGGAAACCGUGAAACGUACCGCCUGGGAAGUACGGUCGCAAGGCUGAAACUUAAGGAAUUGGCGGGGGAGCACCACAACAGGUGGAGCCUGCCGGUUUAAUUGGACUCAACGCCGGAAAUCUCACCGGAUAAGACAGCAGAAUGAUUGCCGGGCUGAAGACUCUGCAUGACUAGCUGAGUAGAGGUGCAUGG
rnacentral:rRNA from 1 species